CUAAAAAAUAUUGCGAACGAAGAGAAAAACAAACUGGGUCCUACAUUAGAAUUUUGCAAACACGAUAAGAAAAUAAGAAAAUAAAAAAAUUGGGUCCUACACGUAACCAUGGAUUUUGGGGGGACUCACUGAAAAUUCAACGAGAAACGUGGCUUACAUCCACAUUUCAAUGUUAAGCUCUCCCACUACCUUGAUUCGGUUAAGUUUCUCAUCUCUCUCUCGGAACACUCAGGGACACAUCUUUUGUUUCUUUUUGGUUAAAGAGAGACAUAUUAUGCUUAGAACCUUGUAUGAGGAUCAGUUGUGAAGUCAUUUCCCCCCCUUCUUUGGUGUGUUCUUUACGUGUUUCUUUGGCUGCUUGUUCAUUUUGAAGAUAAGCCUAAAAAUGGAAGUUCUUGGCUUUCUUGGAAAUCAGAGUGUGAUUUAUGUGGGUUUUGGUCCUUGGAUCCAUUUCUUCUGAUUCCUUUGGGAUAUGACCUUGGCAAUAAGAGGCUUAUAUGAUUCUGGAGCUUUCAAGUUUAUAUCGACUAGUUGGAGACAGAUGAUUGAAAACAAAGUUGUCUGCCAUUGGUUUGCUUUGUUAGAUUAGAGGCUCAAGAUGGAUGAUACAUCUGCCAAUGCUCAAAAGGAUGGCCAGGGUAAAGAGGAUUCAUUGCAUAGCUUGAACCAUGGAAGAGAAUUAUCUGGUGACAAUGAGCCGGACUGUUCCCAAUCAAAAUCAGAGAGGGUGAUGAGAAGGGUAUAUUCACAUCACUAUCUGCAUUUAAAAGUUAAGCAAUUGCAACGCAGUAAAAGUUGCAUCAAAGAUUCAUUCCUUCGAGGCAUUCAUGUCUUAGACAAUUGGAUUCCAAAGCAUAUAACAACAAUCGAUGAGAAAUAUCUUCGUCGUUGCCUAGAAUUUAUACAUGCCAGCACUUCUCAGUCGGCUCCAUGCAAUGCCUCUAUGUACUUGGAUUUGGGAAACAUGGGUUUUUUCUCUGAUGGCCUGAAUAUAGCUAAAACUGGGAGUGAAAAUACAUAUGGUUUGGCCAGGUUUGAUUUUGACUGUCCAUUAGCUGGGACUGGGAAUGUGGUCAUUAGCCCAGCGGAACAGUGGAUUGUUGGUUCGAUCAUGGGUAGCAAGAGCAUGGUGAAUAUACUAAAGAGUCCUUUAUUGCUCCGGUAUGGUUCAUAUGGCGAUGAUGCCAAUUUUGAGAAAGUGAGUUCCAGCGAGGUUAAAGGACCAAUAUGUUUUAAUCUGAUGAACUCUCCUAGUGGAUUACGUAGUUAUUCACCACACAAGCUUGAUGAAGAAGCACAAAUUCCUGGAAGCCAUAAAUUUGGAUCAGAGACUUUGCACAAAAGGCUUAUUUCUAUGUCGAGCUCAAACUCUACGUGUUCUGAUCAGUCUUCUUCUUCUCCGUCAGCUACUGUUACUCAGGGGACCCUCCAAUGCACAUGGAAGGGUGGGAACCCACAUUUUGUCUUCUCCAUAGACAAUCAGAAAUUGGUCUAUGUGGCUAACUUGUAUAAUGUUGAUUCAGCAGAUGAUAAGUCUCUGGAGUAUGUGUAUUUAUUCCAUUCAAGAAAAGGUUCCCAAAAGGAACAUAUGAAUCAUGAUAAAGAGUCGCACCUUGUAGGUAAGAUGAAGGUGUCAACUUCUUUUGCUCUUUGCCCAAAAAAUUCAAGAAUCACGCAGAGAGAAUUUGUUUUAUUCGGUUAUGAAAAUUACGUGGGAGAGUGGCAAAGUUCAAGCCAUGACCUCAGGAAGAACAAGGGAUUGUCAAGCAGGGUGGCAGAAGUGUUCAGGACCAGUAACUCAUCCAAGAGGAGAACUAACUCCAGAUUUGGUGGAUCCGGUGCCAUACUGGAGAAUUCUUCUUGGGAGCCAUUUCAAGAGAGAGAUAACAACAUCGAUGCACUUGGUGGCACCAAUCUUUUAGAAAAUCAUCUUCCACCAAAUCUUGAAUUGGCUGCCAUUUUGGUGAAAGAUCAUCUUCCUGAAAAGCGUCAGGAGAAGGCUGGAGGUUGGGGCUUGAAUUUUCUCAAGAAAAUGGCUGUAACACAAGCAGAAGAUGUGAAAUCCUCAGUGCUCCCUGCCUGUUGUGCCCAAGAUAGUGGUGAUUGCUCAACAAGCAUUGAUAUUCUCAUUCCAGCUGGUCUUCACGGAGGUCCAAGGACCAGAAAUGGUGGUCCUUCUAGUCUUAUUGAUAGGUGGAUAUCAGGUGGACACUGUGACUGUGGUGGCUGGGACCUAGGCUGUCCAUUAACAGUACUUAAAAGCAGAUCAGCCCACAAAGAGUUUUCAUCUCAAGCAGAUGCGCAAGGGGAGUGCAAGUUAGUUGAUUUGUUCAUAGAGGGUUCAGAGAAUGGUGCCCCCCCCAUGAGUAUGGUGAAUGUCCAUGAUGGCUUGUAUUUUGUGCACUUUCAGUCAACAUUGUCAGCUCUGCAGUCCUUCUCAAUUGCAGUAGCAUUUAUCCAUACCCAAAAAGUCCCAGUCUCCAACCAAAAUAUGUACAGGAGUUGACAUAAGGAAGAUUUGUGGUUCAGCUUGAUCUAGUUGUAACUCCCCUACUGUAUCACAGCACUUUACUUUUUGCAUUUGUAGGUUGGCUUGACCUGGCCUGGCCAGUUAUGCUCCAAAGGUUCAACAAGUCAAGCAUCCUUUGCCUUAGAUGUUUCCAGAGCAAACUUAAGGAGUUAAUGGCUGGACUGAUCUCAAAAGCUCGCAUGAAGUGGUACAUGGUUAAAGCCUAAAGAUUUUAUUUCACCCAUUUAAUUAUCUUCUAUGAAUAUAUCUAUGCAUUGUAUUUUUUUUCUUUCUCUGAACAAUCAUGGCAGUGUAUCUCCUCUGUACUUUAUUUUUAUUGUUUCUUUGUGGAUGCAAGUGAGACUUGUUUCUCUGCUUCUAUAAUCUGGCUGGUGAAUUUUUGAUACAUUCCGUGGUCCUUCAGUGCGUCAAGUUGAAUUUAUCGGUUUGUCCACUAAAGAACUGGGUAAGUUCUUACUUUUCUUGACCGUAAUAUAAGUGGUUGAAAUAUAAUAAAUCCCGCUACGUAUUAAUCGAGGAAGAGAUGUGUCUAGCAACUAUUUUCCCUGGCACACCCCUUAUAAUGGACGACAGUAAUAUGCUGUCUCUUUUAGCAUUGCAGGCAACUCUCCUGACUUUUUCAUCUUCCCUUGGUAGCUUCUGUAAACGUAGGCAGCACUCAGAACCAGGAAAGAAAGUAGCCGGACAGGAGUAGGUAGGAGAUUUAAUUUGGAGCAACUUAUUCAUUAAUUAAUCACUUUAUCUGUUAUACCUGGACAUGAUUUGACUCCUUAAAUUUCUUUUUUUUCAUUUGUUACAUUCACUAUAUAUUAUAAAUGGUGCGCAGAAUAUUAUGAUAUAUGAACGCUUGAGUUCAAGUGAAUACUAACUGGAUUGGAACUGUUUGAGGCAUUUGUUAUGGUUGCUGAAUCCUUUCUUCCUUACUGGUCACCUUUAGUUACCUGUCAUGUAUAUUGCGUAGUUGGGUAGCAAUGCUUUGUAUUCAACCAAACACGAGGAUGUAAUAGGUAGCAUGAAUUUUCUGCCAAACGUAUUAUAGAGAACUUUCUCUAGGUUGUCUUUAACUCUUGUCCUUUGGGACAGUUUUUAUUCUGGUGCAGGGGAGAUUACAUUGCAAAUCUUCAUGAUCAAGGCAGGCACCUUCUUGUCAGAUAUUGAAACAUGGAAAACAAGCUUAUCGUGAUCAGGCAUCUUCCUCCCAAUAACUACGCUUUAGAUUCGAUCAUUCCGCUUGCAUAGCAAGUCUUUGCCCCUGCAUCUGACAGGCAAAAAGUACCUGUCUUUCCAGGAUAAUGACUCGACUGUCUCAAGUUAACCAUGUUAUCCAGACCAUAAAAGAGGUUCCGUUCAUCGGUUGAUUGAAUGCUGGGCCUGCCUGUCAAGGCAUGCUCUGUAAAGAUUAUUUAAUUUGACGAGGAGAAUGCUUGGAUCUCGAAAUAGCACAGAAGGGUUGCAUUACAGUGAGAAGGGACAGUCUCGUAGCAUGUAAACUUGUCAAUGUCUCCUCCCUGCUUUCUUUCUCACAAAAUUUCAUUUUUCACGUCAACUAGACCAUAACUUCUAUACCA